UCUGGGCAUGCGCAGAGAAACAGCGGAGGCAUGUGGGGGUCUUGGAAUUUCCUUAAAAUUUUAUUGCUUUAGUUUUGUUUUCCCGCUGGUUUAGAAGAGCGACCGGAAACCUCAAGUAGAGGAGACAGGGUUCUGGUUCCGGAAGCACGGGUUGGCCUGGUGAACCUUCAGUCUGAAAUUACCCGAAGCCAAAGAGUAGUCAGGAAAGCCUUCUCGAGGUGGGAAACGAAGGUUCAGCUUUCCGAAAGCCUGGCUGAAGAAGAUGACUGAAGAUCAGACUUUGCUUGCCGUGCAGGAGGCCCUGAGGAAGUGCUUUCCCGUGGUGGAGGAGCAGCAGGGCCUGUGGCAGAGUGCUCUGAGAGAGUGCCCGCCCCUCCUGGCCUCUCUCAGCAACCUGGCAGAGCAGCUGCAAGCCGCACAGAACCUGCGAUUUGAGGAUGUGCCCUCACUUCGGGCCUUCCCGGACUUAAAGGAGCGGCUGAGGCGCAAGCAGCUGGCGGCUGGUGACACUAUCCUGGACAAGCUAGGAGAGAGGCUAGCCACCCUCCUCAAGGUGCGUGAUGUGGUCAGCAGCCACGUGGAGCACGUGCUUCAGAUCUAUGAGCAGCACGCAGACACGAUUGGCCUCGAUGCUGUCCUACAGGCUUCAGCUGCGAGCCCCUCUGUGGCUGAAAUGUUGGAGUGGUUGCAGGACAUUGAGAGGCAUUAUCGGAAUUCGUACCUGAAGAGGAAGUACCUCCUGUCCUCAAUCCAGUGGGAAGACUUGGGAAACAUCCAAGCUUUGCCCAGAGCCUGGGACCGAAUCUCAGAAGAUGAACACCCGGACCUUGUACGAGGUGCUGGUUUUCAUGUAGUCCUUCGUGUCUGCUCUUCUCUUUUCUGUGUCUAGCCUCUAUGGAAGCAUGAAGAAGUUUCCCCUCCUGGUGCCUCUAGCUUUUACAAAUCUGGCGUUUUGUGUUUUCUGGAGAGCUGGUAUGCCACAUGUUCUCUCUCUUCCUGUUCUAGAUGUCCUCUUGAAUGUUUCCUUCUUCCUGGAAGAGUGAAGAAGCCGUGUGUUUAUCGGAAGACUAGGGGGACACAGGUGAAGACCGACAUUGCUGCCCUCUGAUAUGUCUAAAGAAAUGUCAGUACGGCGUCCUGACUUACUGGAAGUGUCAGUGCCCAGCGCCUGAGGACUGGCUCUUCAGAGGAUUCUGCUGGACAUUCCUGAUGUUGGGGCUGCUUCAUGCUGGGUCAUGGGUGAGGGUACAUGGUCACCCCUUGCCCUUUCCUAAGACUCAGGAGAGUGGACAGAGGCAGAGAGGAUGCAGGAAAGGCGGUGCAGAAGAACGCCAGGGACAGAAGCAACAGCCACAGAAGUGGUGAGGAAGGAAAGGGCCGGGUAGAGUCGGCUCCACCCCCAGCAUCAUCCAAAGCCCUGAGCCUCGUUGACCCCAGGGCCUGGUCGCCUCUCCUUCUGUCAGUACCUGACUCCUUGAUGGAAAAAAGUGUGGCUUUGAUGAUUUAAAGAAGUGGAGGUGAUGUUGAUGGAAAACUCAUUGUUUUCCAGUUGCAACGGCUCCUUAUCAUCAGGACACUUUCUAGAGCCUUCCACCAGGGGGAGGUGGUGCAGCAUGAAUUCUGAGUGUUUUGUGUUUGGAGCUGUUCCCUUGUUGCUCUUACUGACAGUAAGUAACUGGGGAUAGUGGGGCUCUUAAAAUAACAGGGUUUUCUUUUUACCAAAGCCAGCAGCCAAUUUGCUACAGGCCCCUGAUCUUGGAGUAGCCACAUGGAUGGGAGGUCACUAGCCCAGAGUCAGGCAAUGAGGAUUGUGUUUCUGAGGCCCAGUGCCUUCAUCUGUGAAAUGGUCAUGGUCCUUGCAGACCUGUCAGCUUCCUGGGCUGGUUAAAAAUCUCGGUCAUUGGAUGUAAAGGGACUUAAGAAAGAAUAUAGAUAUUUUUCAAAGUGAAAAUGACUUUUUAAGUUACAAAAGUGAUGAUAUGCUUUUUAAGAAAUUAUAGAAAAAUUAUGGAAAACAUUUAAAAUGUAGAAAAACAUUGACUGGUUUGAUCUUCUUGCAGUCCAAGAACUCUAUCAGAGAUAUUUUAUAUGUAUCUUUUCAGCGUCCAUAGUCACAAUUUUUUUUAACAAAACAAUUUGGGUAUCAUUGAUACAUACUGUUUUUCAAAUUGUCUUUAAAAAGCACCUUUAUAUAGUUUGGCUAGUUUUUCAUAUCUCUCUCUGAAUAUAGCUCAACACAAUUAUAUAUACCAUUCUAUGGAUUGUUAUAGUCUUAUGUUUUACAUGUAUUUUUUAAGUCUUCAUGUUUUUCUACCUGUGCGUGCAUGCUAAGUCACUUCAGUCGUGUCCGACUCUUUGCGACCCUAUGGACUAUAGCCUGCCAGGCUCCUCUG